rnacentral:rRNA from 1 species
AUGGCGACCACCUCUUGCUCCUCGCCGCUCACCUCCACCGCGGCCCUCUCCGCCACCCAACAGGCCUCCCCCUCCUCCAAGCGCUUCCUCCCCUUCCCGCCCCGCCCGCCGCGCCCCGGGACUCGCCUCCGCGCGGGCUCACUCAGGGAGUGGAGCGAGUUCGAGGACGCCGUCGAGAGCAAGGACCUCUCCCGCGCGCUCCGCUUCCUGCAGUCCGUGGAGCCCGCGUCUUAUCCGGAAGCGGCCACGAAUGCGGCUACGCAGGUGGCUCUCCCCCUGUCGCCGGGGCGGGACUGGGAGGUGCUGGACACCUGCAUCGACGCAGAUGACAUGCGGCUCGUCGGCCGGGCGUACCAGUUCCUCUCCGACCGCGGGGUCCUCGCCAACUUCGGCAAGUUCAAGAACAUAGUUCUGGAGGGACCGAGAGAAGUUACGCCGACAAUUUUAAAGGAGAUGACAGGCCUGGAAGCUGCAAAGCUUGCACCAAAGAAGUGGGGUCUCUCAGGAAAUUCUCGUUAUGUUCUGGCUACUUUUUUUGGUGGUGCAUCUUUUCUACUAACCCAAGGAGUGGAUGUACGGCCUAACUUGGCUGCGAUAUUGGCGUUAGCAACCGGAGAUGCGCUUUUUCUUGGCGGUACUUGUGCUGCACAAAUCUCGUGUUUCUGGCCUCCAUACAAGCGCAGAAUCCUUGUACAUGAAGCCGGACAUCUUCUUACUGCUUAUCUAAUGGGCUGCCCCAUACGAGGAGUCAUCCUGGAUCCCUUUGUGGCACUGCGGAUGAGCAUUCAAGGCCAGGCAGGAACACAGUUCUGGGAUGCAAAGAUGGAGAAAGAACUUGGUGAGGGUCAUCUGUCUAGUACAGCAUUUGACAGAUACUGCAUGAUUCUGUUUGCUGGAAUCGCCGCAGAAGCACUUGUAUACGGGGAGGCAGAAGGAGGAGAAAAUGACGAGAAUUUAUUCAGGAGUUUGUGUGUUCUGCUCGAUCCUCCGCUUUCUGUCGCACAGAUGGCAAAUAGAGCUCGCUGGUCGGUGAUGCAGUCUUACAACCUCCUGAAGUGGCACAAGAAAGCGCAUAGAGCUGCCGUCAAAGCACUCGAAAGCGGACAUGGUCUCAGCGUCGUCGUUAGGAGGAUCGAAGAAGCCAUCGCCUCCGACAGAUAG